rnacentral:rRNA from 1 species
GAUGAACGCUGGCGGCGUGCCUAAUACAUGCAAGUCGAGCGGUAAGGCCUCUUCGGAGGUACACGAGCGGCGGACGGCUGAGUAACGCGUAGGAACGUACCCCAAAGUGAGGGAUAAGCACCAGAAAUGGUGUCUAAUACCGCAUGUGGCCCACGGGCUAAAGCUUCGGCGCUUUGGGAACGGCCUGCGUAAGAUUAGCUAGUUGGUGAGGUAAUGGCUCACCAAGGCGACGAUCUUUAGCUGGUCUGAGAGGAUGAUCAGCCAGACUGGGACUGAGACACGACCCAGACUCCUACGGGAGGCAGCAGUAGGGAAUUUUCCACAAUGGGCGAAAGCCUGAUGGAGCAACGCCGCGUGCAGGAUGAAUGCCCUCGGGUUGUAAACUGCUUUUAUAUGCGACGAAUAUGACGGUAGCAUAUGAAUAAGGAUCGGCUAACUCCGUGCCAGCCGCCGCGGUAA